rnacentral:rRNA from 1 species
UGCCAGCCGCCGCGGUAAUACGGAGGGGGCUAGCGUUGUUCGGAAUUACUGGGCGUAAAGCGCGCGUAGGCGGGCUGGUCAGUUGGGGGUGAAAUCCCGGGGCUCAACCCCGGAACUGCCUUGUAAACUCCUGGUCUUGAGUUCGAGAGAGGUGAGUGGAAUUCCGAGUGUAGAGGUGAAAUUCGUAGAUAUUCGGAGGAACACCAGUGGCGAAGGCGGCUCACUGGCUCGAUACUGACGCUGAGGUACGAAAGCGUGGGGAGCAAGCAGGAUUAGAUA